rnacentral:tRNA from 1 species
GGCUAUAUAGCCUAAACAAGGCAUUUGAAUUGCAAUCAAACCAUGUAUUAAAUACUAUAGCCG